AAGCAGGUUGUCCUGUCUUGUUGGGAGGGAGUGGACAUCAUUGUGUCUCCUUUGAAGAACCUAGAGUUUUACUGUGGUGCAAAGAACCCUCUUGAUUCCAAUAUGUCCCCCAGGGUUCCGCUCCUGCUCCUUGUUAUCUGUGCUUUUCUCUUCCCUCCACAUGAAGGUAAGUUCCUUCUCCCAGAGCUGAAAGAAGGAAGUUCACUCAAGGUAUCAUAGACAAAAGCAUUUAAAAAAGAGAAAGGGGACAAUAGUAACUCAUUUCAAUACAUAGGAAAGCAUGAGCAAACCUCAGCCGUGGUUCUGAAACGUGAUCUUACUUAGGGGGCACGAUGAGGCAGGUGUCAGCAGGAGGGUGCUGCAGGUGUAAAUGACUUUCAGACUUUGAAAAGCUGGCAUCACUGGGUCAAGUUCAUCCAUUUUGUUGAAUUAAACUAAAUAGUUUUAACAGGAUUUUGAAAAAAUGUGCAAUUAAUGUUUAGUGUCUGAAUUGUAUUGUGCUAUUAUCUUCCUUGGUGGGUUGUGCUGUUCUGAAUGAUGCUUUUUAAAGGGUUGAGGAUAUUGCAGAUAAGUUUAUGGAACCAAGGGGGUGGUGCCACAAAACAAGUUUGUGAACCAUAGUGCAUGCAUGGAUGAAAAAGGUGAAAAGUCUGCCUGCAGUAAUGCAUACAGUGGUAAUGCUUGCACCAGCAGUAGCACAUAAGGAAAGCGCCCUGCAGUUGCUGAGGUAUUGGUUUGGGGCAAAGAGGCUGGGAGGUCCAGAAGCUGGUGGUGACCCCUGAGGGUGGUCAUGCACUUCCAAGCUACAACAAACAGCAAAUGAGCUCUCACUGGAAUCUUGACCCACCAUGUCCCAGUGAGUGCCACAUGCAUGAUCCAAAGACCUUUAACUUGUGUUGUAGAAGUUGCAUUGCUAAUGAAUCAUACAGUUGGAGGAUACCCAAGGAUCAUCUAGUCCAACCCCUUGCAAUGCAGGCAUCUCAGCUAAAGCAUCCAUGACAGAUGGCCAUCCAACUUCUGCUUAAAAACCUCCAAGCAAAGAGAGUCCACAACUUCCCGAGGGAGACUAUUCCACUGUUGUACAGCUCUUACAGUCAGAAAGUUCUUCCUGAUGUUUAGUUAGAGUCUCAUUUCUUGUAACUUGAAGCCAUUGGUUCGAAUCCUACUCUCCAGAGCAGGAGAAAAUAAGCUUGUUCCUAUUUCCAUGUGACAGCUCUUAAGACAUUUGAAGAUGGCUAACAUAUCUCAUCUCAGUCUCAUCUUUUCCAAGCUAAACCUACCAAGCUCCUUCAAAAGCUCCUCAUAAGGCCCAUUCAGUGACUUCACAAGCACAUAAUCUAAUCUUAAAGGGCGUCAAAUAGUUAAUAUUUUGCAUCCAUUCAGCCAGCAUUAUCCUUAAUUUAAGGAUUCUGCACUGCAUGUUCAUAUGGAAAACUUCAGUGACAUCAAAGAAUAGAUUAUUCAUUCAUUGUCACUUGAGGUCAAGCUUGGUAUUAUAAUCAGGAUGAUUUGUCUUUCGAAGUUGAUACGCUGCAAUGUGGGGAAAGCUCCUCCAGUCCAUCGGAAGAAUUUUUGCCUCCUCGUGCCUGUGAAGCUGAUCCUGAAAGGCAAACCUGCCAUGCCCUAAAGGUGUACCUUAGUAAGUAAUCUAAUCUUCCUCUUCUUUGGGCUUAAUUAUGGAGCAAUAAUGCCAAUGCAAAUUUCACUGACAUCAAAUUCCAUGUUUACAGUUCCAUCUGCUUCCCACAGUUUGGUACAUAUCUUGUUGCAGAGUACAGAUGUACCUUGGUUUUUGAGCAGCCUAGUUCUCGAAUUUGUUGGCUCCCGAACGAUUGAAACCUGGAAGUGACUGAAAGCUGAAUGUCCGACAAGGCUUCCGCAGCUUCCGAUUGGCUGCAGGAGCUUCCUGGAGCCAAUCAGAAGCCACACUUUGGUUUUCAAAUGUUUUGGAAGUCAAAAAGACUUCCGAAACAGAUUCCAUUCGACUUCCAAGGUAUGACUGUUUGUCAAAACAUCUGAGUCCAGGAAGGACAGCCAUUUGCACACUGAUGAUUAAUGAUUCAUUACUGUGCCCUUUGCAUACUCUGGAACUGGCUCUUCAGGGUUUCAGCAGAGGUCUUUUAUAAGACCCACUACUUGAUUUUCUCUUUUAAUGUGGGGAUGCAAGGGAAUGAAAUGUGGACUUUCAGUAUGUGAGUUGUGCAACUGCCAGUGUCUUAGCGGUACACCAGGUUGUUCCUUUCCCUCCGCAUGGUGGUGCACUCACAGAACAGUGCUGGACUAAAAUCCUGUCUUGAAUGGAAUGGUGUUGGACACUCAAAAAUAUAUAUCUUACUAUAUAAUGUUUUGGUAAGAAUUGCGGCUAAAGAACAGCAGGUGGAGUGUGGAAACCAGGCAGGCCAGGUUACAGGUUGGCAGAGCAAGCAGUUGGGUGGUCCCAAGUGGGCAUUCACAUGUUCUCCAUAUUCCUGCUGCCACCCAUUUUCCCACUUGCAUGUGUGCACAAAAGGACAUAGGAGGACAUAGGAGCCAACUAAGCGGGGUCCAGGAGUGAGAGCUGGGCCGUAAAGAAGGCUGAUCACCGAAGAAUUGAUACUUUUGAAUUAUGGUGCUGGAGGAGACUCUUGAGAGUCCCAUGGACUGCAAGAAGAUCAAAUCUAUCCAUUCUGAAGGAAAUCAGCCCUGGGUGCUCACUGGAAGGACUGGAAGCUGAGGCUCCAAUACUUUGGGCCACCUCAUGAGAAGAGAAGACUCCCUGGGAAAGACCCUGAUGUUGGGAAAGAUGGAUGGCACAAGGCGAAGGGGACAACAGAGGACAAGAUGGUUGGACAGUGUUCUCGAAGCUACGAACAUGAGUUUGACCAAACUGCAGGAGGCAGUGGAAGACAGGAGUGCCUGGCAUGCUCUGGUCCAUGGGGUCACGAAGAGUCGGACACAACAAAAUGACAAAACAACAACAACAACAACAACAACGGGUGCCUGGGCACCCACAAAUUUUAAAUGAUCACCCCCCCAGUUUCUUUUUGGUGGUGCACACACUCCCUGUGGCAUGUGCAAGUGACAUCAGCACACCACAGGGUGUGCUGACGUGUGCGCAUGUGCACAUGCCGCGGUGAUGGUGGCACACCCUGGGCACCCAAUGUUUCGGGUUCAAGGCAGUGCACCUACAAACGAUGUCGAGAAGGGAAGCCUGGGGUCCAAAUGUGUGGGUGGCCUGGCUGAAUGAGAGAGAGGCCACGUGAAGGGAGUGGGCACCCAGCCAGGCAGGGUUGGUGAGCAAUGCAAGCAGGGAUAGCAGCACCUAGUAUAUAUACCUAUGAAAAUAUAAAUGGAAAUGCUUACUCAUUUCCCCCCUCUUUCCAUUCAUUUUAUUCUCUGCCAUCACAGAUGGUCAUCUUCAAAUACAAACACUAAGCUGCAGGACAAAGAAAGAUGCAAAGUGCGGCACCUCAGAGCCCGCCCCGUUCCCAGACCAGUGGACCGAAUUCUUCUGCUGCGAAGACAGUGACUUCUGCAAUGACAAAUUUCUCACGGCACUGGAAGCAGCUUGAAGAUCCUCCAGACAUCAGCGCAUGUGUGCAUUGUCUGUGCCCUUUAGUUUUCCUUUGUCCCAUGCUCAUAGUGGUUAAAGGCAUGACUCUGAGUGUGAUUAUGGCUCUGAGUGCGGAAUGCUAAAGUGUUUCCAUUAAAAUAUAUAUAUUCAAAAGUAAGAUCUUAAGUGUCGUCCAUGGCUACCAAGUUAACACCUUCAAAAUGCAGACUCCCUUGGGGGGUGAUGAACUCUCCCUCCUUGGAGGUUGGAUGGCCAUCUGUCAUGUAUGAUAUCUUCAUUGGAGGGCAUUGGACUAGAUGCCCUAUGGGGUCCCUUCCAACUCUACAUUUCUAGGAUUCUAUGAUACACCAGGACCUCAGUCCCAUAAGCCAAUCAAUCUUGGGUUGCCAGAGGGUCUAAUUUAGCCUGUGAGGCCAUUCUUUCCAAACCAUGCCCACCCAUCCUUCAGCUGACAUCAUUGGUGAGAUAGGAAGGGCAGGGCUUAAUCAUGCACUGGCUGUGCACCAUGUUCCCAGCAGGAAACAAGACUUCUGCUGCAAAACCAUCAGGAUUUAAUCCCUGCUCCUCAACUGAUGAACAAGUCCCUAUUCUGAGCAUUUGUUUUUGUAUAGUAGCAAACAAAAGAAUAUUGGUUCCUUUAACCAGACUGGCACAUCUUUGUCUUAUAAAGAGCCAUGUUUUUCUGUCCUUCAAACUCAAACUGGUACAGCUCCAAGGGUUCAACCAAUCUAGCCUGACUAUUACAUGUUUUGGAUAAUUUGUCCCUCUUUUCAUCCUUCCAAUAAAUUCAAGAAAGCAUGAGCAAUCCCUUCUUUUCCUUUCUCAUCACAACUCUGUGAGGAAUGUUUGAUUAUUUUAAUGUUAUAUUUUGUAUUUUAAAAUUGUUGUAAGCCACCCUGGGACCUGAGUGAAGGAAGACAAAAAUGAAUUAAUAGUAAUAGAAAUAGAGUUAAUAACCACAGAGUUGUCAUUGUAAGUUAAACUAAAAGGUUUAUUGACUGAUAACACUCAGUACAGAAACAAUAUAUUAGGAAGAACAGGAAAAGAAACACAGAUGCUUCAAAAGCAUAUCAAUGUACUGCAAAUCUGAACGGUUCAAUGUGCAUAGUGAAACAAAGUAACAAUAAUUCAUUAUUAGAAUGUGGAUUAAAUAAACAAAUGAAUGAUUGAUAAAGCAAGUGAUUUUGAUUCUGUUUAAAUAUUGUUUUCAACUGCCUUCCAUAUUGACCAUGUUUGUGGGGGUGCUGUGACUAUUAACAUCCAACUUCUGGUGGUAGUAUAAAGGCACUUCUGUUCUCAAACAUUUACAGCGAAACCCAAAUAUUUGGAAACUGAGGAUACUUAUCCGGCCCAAAUUUCUUCCUAGCAGUUGGAACUAUAGAGCAUGUUAAUUUAGGAGAAACUAAUGUUGAAUACCCAGAACGGGACUCGCAAGAAACUGCCCACUUCUGUUGGUGUCAAAAUGAUACAGUGAUGGAAAGAGGGGAAAGCAGCACGGCAUUCAGCAAGAAUUAGGAUGGAUCUACACAGACCUGUUUAACGUUAUUAGAACGAUAUUAGAGAUAUCAUUCUAAAAUGUCACAGGGCAUAAUUGUAAAAUAAAGUGUUUCUUAUCUCUACUUUUUUGGGGGGGUCAAAACAACUGUAGCUCAAAACAAGGAGUAUAGAUUCACCUUUAGUCUUGCUUUAUGUUCCAUACCAGGUAACCCCUUCCUUGGUUGUCAGACCACAGAAUCAGACAAAAGGUCAAAUUUAAAUAAUGUGCAUAGGAAAAUAAAGCUGGGAAGGAGACAUCCCACAGGAAAAGUCCAUUUGCAUUCCUCAGGAUACGGUGGCUCUUCAAUCAGUUUUCUGACCAAUUUAUAAUUUAUCACUGCAAAAGUCAACACAGAACAGGCAUUCAAUAUAAUAGUCGAUGUAAGUACGUCCAAGAAAUUUAUUUCCUAUUGUCUCGUGUUUAUCACACCCCGUCUCAGGAGUCAACAUGCAUCUUUUUUCUUUAGCAAACAGGUUCCCAUCUAUGAUUGAAAUGGGUACAAUGAAUUGUGUUCUCUAUGCUUUGGUCCAGAACUUUUUUUUUCAGCUGGACCCCUUUCAGGUAGUUACCAUUGCCAUUAUAAGAGAACGAGGAAGGCAUUCAUGGUGAGUUCCACUGUCUAUCAGCUGAUGUCACGGCCGAUGCCAGCUGCCGAGCAGGAGGACAGGGUUAAAUCCUGUGUUUCCUGUGCAGCACUGUUCCCAGGAGGGAACAGGAUCACACAGCCUAGGCAGAAGGAUUUAAUAAGAGUGGAAAUUAAAACAGCAGAUCAGGGUCUUAAAAGAGUUUGGGAGCAUUUGGGAGUUUUCCACUCCAUCCUGCCAACUGCAGUGUGAUCAGUCUUAGAAGGAAAGGGAGAACACUUCUCUCCCCCUUCCCUUUUAAAGCCAAUCUCAC